GUAGGACUCAACCACACACAGGGUCACAUGCUGUUCUGUUGUUCAGUACUAUACACACACCCUGCAGCCUCCUCUGCUGAACCGACCGUUGACAUCUGGCUAAGUGGCUGUAGAUAGUGUUCUGAUUGGAGGAGGCUGUAGAUAGUGUUCUGAUGGGAGGAGGCUGUAGAUAGUGUUCUGAUUGGAGGAGGCUGUAGAUAGUGUUCUGAUGGGAGGAGGCUGUAGAUAGUGUUCUGAUGGGAGGAGGCUGUAGAUAGUGUUCUGAUGGGAGGAGGCUGUAGAUAGUGUUCUGAUUGGAGGAGGCUGUAGAUAGUGUUCUGAUGGGAGGAGGCUGUAGAUAGUGUUCUGAUUGGAGGAGGCUGGUGGCUGUAGAUAGUGUUCUGAUGGGAGGAGGCUGUAGAUAGUGUUCUGAUUGGAGGAGGCUGUAGAUAGUGUUCUGAUGGGAGGAGGCUGUAGAUAGUGUUCUGAUGGGAGGAGGCUGUAGAUAGUGUUCUGAUGGGAGGAGGCUGUAGAUAGUGUUCUGAUUGGAGGAGGCUGUAGAUAGUGUUCUGAUGGGAGGUGGCUGUAGAUAGUGUUCUGAUGGGAGGAGGCUGUAGAUAGUGUUCUGAUGGGAGGAGGCUGUAGAUAGUGUUCUGAUUGGAGGAGGCUGUAGAUAGUGUUCUGAUUGGAGGAGGCUGUAGAUAGUGUUCUGAUGGGAGGAGACUGUAGAUAGUGUUCUGAUGGGAGGUGGCUGGAUGGCUGUCAGUGGGGCAGCGGCUGGGGGGCGAGUAACGUUACAUACAGACUCUGGGGUACAUCCACUGAGUGCAAAGAUCACUGUCAGAGAGAGAGGGAGAGAGAGGGAGGGAGAGAGAGAGAGAGAG
ensembl:lncRNA